GGGGGCUUGAGAAAUCUCUCCCAGAUAUUUAUUGCGCGCAUUAAAAAGAUAAAUCGGGAGAAGAGAGAGCGAGGCACGAAGCAGUUUUUAACAGACUAAUUCCCACCGAAAAGCCUUUGUACGAAGACGCCGCCUCCUCCGUAGAGAGCGGCGGUGCAGCAGCGAGGCCGCGCGGGGCGGGCAGGCUUCUAAUGUGAGGAAAAACACGUGGUGACAAGUGUGGAAAAGAGCAAGCACUAAAUUACUGUCAGAAAAAUAAACGGCGGAGCGCGGAGCUGCGCGGUGAUUUACGGGGGCAAUUAGCCACCGCCCCGCCGGGCCGGACCCGCCCGCCUCCAUUCCUUCCCCGGCCACAAAACGGGGAGGGCCGCCCCGGCGCCUGGGCACCGUGCGGUGGGUACGGAGCGCUGGGUAAACCUCGGUGCUGCUGUGUCACCCGAGUGGGGUCCUAGGGGGGGAUUGUCAUUGGAGCGACAGAGCGGAGGGAUGUUUGAGGCUCUGGUACAGCCCAGGCCGUGGCAGUGAGCCCUCAGCCACUGAUCCGUGGGGUCUCCGGAGGGACCACUGGGACCACUGGUGUGGCUGUGCAGAUAUCUCUUCCUGGUGGCCAGAGCAGAGCGUGGGCUGAGUGCUGUCAGAUUACUAAUCACCCUGCAGGGACACUGCUUUGCCCCAUCUCGCUCUGCUGAGUGCACUGUAUGGUAGCUUUGACCCUGACCUGCUGAUCCUAAUCUCCUUGGUGCCUGUACAUUGAUUUUCACUUUCUGAGGCUGCACUGUACACCUGGGGCCAAGAACCAGGGUCUGGCUCUGGGGCAGCAGUGGUAUUUGACCCGGGUGCUGGCCCUGCCUCUCUGACCAGCACUGCCUGUCCCAGCCAGGGUACUACUCAUAGGGCAGGGAACGUGUGGGGACAAAGGGAGGAGCAGCAGGGCCAACCUCUCCAGAUGUGGCACUGAGUGGGAAUGACAGCCAUGUGUGUUUCAGAGGAAAAUGAAGAGCCAUCACGGUUUGUGUAUAAGAAAUGGGCAUGUGGGGGAAGCAGCAGUGUGUGCUGGGCUCAGCCCUGAGCUGCUGCCUCCCUUUCUAGAAAUGCUCUGUGCAGAGCCAUGGGUGUGUACCUGUAAGGGGCUCCCUGUGUGUGUACAGCCCU